AGAUAUUGAAGGUGUCUAUUAA
rnacentral:snRNA from 1 species